rnacentral:lncRNA from 1 species
AUUAUUCCCCCACUUGAAACCUGAAAACGGUGGGCCACACAAAGUCUUACUGAUUUCAGGUGAAAACCACAACUGAAGAUGUCAAGCAAAACAGCAAGCACCAACAACAUCACCCAGGCAAGGAGAACUGUGCAGCAGUUAAGACUAGAAGCCUCCAUUGAAAGAAUAAAGGUGUCAAAGGCGUCUGCAGACCUCAUGUCCUACUGUGAGGAACAUGCCAGGAGUGAUCCUUUGCUGAUAGGGAUACCAACUUCCGAAAACCCUUUCAAAGAUAAAAAAACUUGCAUCAUCUUAUAGAGGAAGAGUGAAACGGUGCCUCCCUUCUUCUCAACAAAACCAAUUUAUGAGCAGCUCCUUGAAGAGAAUUACCUUCAGCUUAUUUGACCAUCUAUCAGCAGAGGGAGUGCUUACCUCCCCAACCCCAAGUCGGGGAACAUGGUGGGAAAGACACAUACAAAAACAUAAAGCUAUCGAGACACAAGCUUCUUGCCAAUAUCUGCAGUGUCAGUGCCAUCCUACCUUGUCCACGAACGAUCCGAGAGAGGCUUGGAUUCAGUGGUAUGCAAUGUGGGCCCAAAGGUUCCAACAGCUGGGAAUCGGGUUCCUUGAUUUUCCUCGGGGCGUGACUGUAGCCCUCACAUCCUUGGAAUGUCCUGGGGGGAUCCCAAAAGCAGGAAUCUCCUCCUAUGACCAGAGUGUAUUUUUACUCGAUCAAAGAGGAAGAGAGGUUCUUUUUAUAACAUGCUCACUUACAGGCCCAAACUAUACACUUGUAAUAUUCUUAAUUCAUCUUCAGUUCAUUCAAAAUAACUAAGGAAGGAUUAAAAACUUAUCCUCAAAAAGGAUUCCACCCCAAGAAGGAAUUACUUACAACAGUUUUUCCGAGUGCUAUACAGUCUUGCCCUGCAAACUGCUAAAAUAUAUUUAGUAUUUCUCCAAGUCACCUAUGACUUGUGAACAGCAUUGUGAAUUGCCCUCAUUUUUUCAAGACUCUGAAAAUCAUGCCUCUGCUCUUAACCUCUUGUUAUCAUACGGCUUGAUUCUGUAAUACGCCCAAUUCCCAAGUAAAUUAUAGGCCCCUAUUCAGGAGAGAUAAAGGUUUUCCCUUUCAAAAGGUGAAGUUUGAAAUGUACACUAAAAAGACGAUUUUACAUUUAAUGUUUCACUUAAGGAGGCAUUCUUUUUCCAAAUAAGUAUAUUUUUCUGAUAGUUUCAGAACACUAAUCUUAUUUUCACUCUGAUGUUUAACAUCGUUCUUUAAAUAUUUAUAAUGUAUCUUGUGACAAAGUAUUUUCCUGAAUUAUGUUUAUUAUGCUGUUAUGUGCACAUUUUUGGUAGCAAGCAAUGUACUCAAACCUGUUCUUUUACCUAACAGAAAACAAAUAUGUUUUGCUCUAUAUUUGUUAAGAUGUUUGUAGUGGUAAGGGAUGGACUUGAGGUCCCAGGAGAUUUCAUUUUAUUUUGCUGGCCAGAUAUCAUAAGGCCACGAGUAUAAAUGUCAUGUAACUUCCUGACCAGAUAUAGGACAUAUUCAAGAAAAAUGAAAUCAAAUCCUUUGACGCUGGACCCAAGGGGGAAAAAAUUGUAGUUAAAUGUUGAUUUACUUAUAUGUGAUAAAAUAUAAUAUAUGUAUACAUGUCUAUGAUAUGCAGAUGUCACUUUUAUUUAUCAGGCUUUGUUCUACUUACGAAGCCACAGUUUAACUGUUCUGCAGCAGCUGGUUUAUGAUAUAAUGGACAAAUGCCCAGUGUGUAUUAUUUUUUCCAACUACCACCAGCAUGACACAGUUAAUCACAUAUAUACAUACAACUUCUUGGCUUCAUACCGAUGAAGCCAUUUAAAUAUGUUCACUAUACUUUCUCUUUAGUGCUGCUUCUGUUAGCUGUGAUCUCUUUUCUUUUCAUUCUUAUAUCUUCAUUAGUUCAUCAUACACCUGUCCAGGUGAGGCCUCAGGACCGUGAUAAGAUACGUUAGACAAAAUUUCAUGACUCCAAAGAAUUUUACAGAAACACAUUUUUUUUUUCCUAUAGAGAAAACACUUUAUAUGCCAGGUGGUUCACAAGUUAAGAGGUGGUAACUACUUUUUCUCUAAAAAGAAUCAGGUUUUUACAUUUCCUUACUUUACUAACAUAAAAAGUGCCAUCCUUAACCUUUUAAAGAAAGAACCUGAUUUGCUUUCUCUGUGUUUGGACUAUUUUUGUACUUUACUAAUCUUUAAACUAUCAGAAAAAAAUAUAUUUACCAAUGAUUUAGUAAUUUUGAGGCAUAGGUUAGUUUAGGUAGUGGAGGAUGUGCCAAACUUUCUCUUCAGAUGCCUUCUUCGCAACCAAUUUACAACUAACAUAGUGUCAUCUGAGUGAUUACUAUGAAUUUUGAUUUAAGAUCUAUGUAGCCCCAAAAAGCGAAUUAUAUUACAUGUCAGUCCUUUCUCAAUAAAACAAAUAUAAUAGAGAGUGUGUUAUGAAUUGUAUUGAUUUCUUUUAUGGUAUAUAUCUGUUAAUAGAAACAAGUACAUUGAAUCAAAUAGAAUUAUAUACAUAUUAAAAUAGAGCACUUACCUAAAGUUGGGUGGCCUGGAUCUUAGUCCUGGGUCGUUUUCUAGCCAAUCCUGUGUGCCUGUGUCGUGUGACUUUGGAUAAGUCAUUUCAUCUCUCUGGGCCUCCAUUUCACCAUCUGUAAAACAGGGGCUUGAAGUAGAUGGUGGCUGAGAUCCCUUCCUGCUCUUGGAUGUCUCGGUCCAAUGGUCUACCCCUCUAGUGGUCCUGCCAACGUGUUGGUGCUAUAAGCUGCUUCAAAUAUAAAAUUAGUUCGUCUAUCGUGUAUGCUCAUUUAUUAGCUUAUGAAAGUCCUUUCAUCAUACAGCUUUUUUUCUAGUUUUAUGAACUUGAUUACUGUAAUAAUGUCGUUUUUAGCCAUGUAACUAUAAACAUAUAUUCUCUUGAUGUCUCAGUAAAUUUGCAUUUGAUAAAUAUAGUUGAAGGGAUUUUGUUAUUUUAUAACAUUCUUUGGCUACUCAUCUGUCCAGCAUCUUAUUAACCUAAACACUGUGAUCAUUGUUUGGAAAUCUGUCCUAUGGAAAGAAUAAAAGCAUUUACUUCACUGCUAACAUGUUCACAGAUUUGAAAGAAGUUUCAUUAAAGCACCAUUGCUCUCUUUACUGGG